UACGUAGGGGGCAAGCGUUGUCCGGAAUUAUUGGGCGUAAAGAGCGCGUAGGCGGUCCGGUAAGUCGGUUGUGAAAGUCGGGGGCUCAACCCUCGGAUGCCGAUCGAUACUGUCGGGCUAGAGUCCGGAAGAGGCGAGUGGAAUUCCUGGUGUAGCGGUGAAAUGCGCAGAUAUCAGGAGGAACACCAAUAGCGAAGGCAGCUCGCUGGGACGGUAUUGACGCUAAGGCGCGAAAGCUAGGGGAGCAAACAGG
rnacentral:rRNA from 1 species